UACAGAGACGGCAAGCGUUGCUCGGAUUCAUUGGGCGUAAAGGGUCCGCAGGUGGUCGGGCAAGUCGGAUGUGAAAUCCCGCGGCUUAACCGCGGAGGGUCAUUCGAAACUGCUCGACUGGAGGACUGGAGAGGAGACUGGAAUUGUCGGUGUAGCGGUGAAAUGCGUAGAUAUCGACAAGAACACCGGUGGCGAAGGCGAGUCUCUGGCCAGUUCCUGACGCUCAGGGACGAAAGCGUGGGGAGCAAACGGG
rnacentral:rRNA from 1 species